UACGUAGGGGGCAAGCGUUGUCCGGAAUCAUUGGGCGUAAAGAGCGUGUAGGCGGCCUGAUAAGUCGGCUGUGAAAGUCAAGGGCUCAACCCUUGAAUGCCGGCCGAUACUGUCAGGCUAGAGUCCGGAAGAGGCGAGUGGAAUUCCUGGUGUAGCGGUGAAAUGCGCAGAUAUCAGGAGGAACACCCGUAGCGAAGGCGGCACUCUGGGCCGGAACUGACGCUGAGGAGCGAAAGCGUGGGGAGCGAACAGG
rnacentral:rRNA from 1 species